CCAGACUCCUACGGGAGGCAGCAGUGGGGGAUAUUGCACAAUGGGGGGAACCCUGAUGCAGCGACGCCGCGUGGGUGAAGGAGCGUUUCGGCGCGUAAAGCCCUAUCGGCAGGGAAGAAGCAAGACGGUACCUGACUAAGAAGCCCCGGCUAACUACGUGCCAGCAGCCGCGGUAAUACGUAGGGGGCGAGCGUUAUCCGGAUUUACUGGGUGUAAAGGGAGCGUAGACGGCAAGGCAAGUCUGGAGUGAAAGCCCGUGGCUCAACCACGGGACUGCUUUGGAAACUGUGUUGCUGGAGUGCAGGAGGGGUAAGCGGAAUUCCUGGUGUAGCGGUGAAAUGCGUAGAUAUCAGGAGGAACACCGGCGGCGAAGGCGGCCUGCUGGACCGCGACUGACGUUGAGGCUCGAAAGCGUGGGGAGCAAACAGGAUUAGAUACCCGAGUAU
rnacentral:rRNA from 1 species